rnacentral:rRNA from 2 species
GCCGGCCUGAGAGGGCGACCGGCCACACUGGGACUGAGACACGGCCCAGACUCUACGGGAGGCAGCAGUGGGGAAUAUUGCACAAUGGGCGCAAGCCUGAUGCAGCGACGCCGCGUGAGGGAUGACGGCCUUCGGGUUGUAAACCUCUUUCAGCAGGGAAGAAGCGAAAGUGACGGUACCUGCAGAAGAAGCGCCGGCUAACUACGUGCCAGCAGCCGCGGUAAUACGUAGGGCGCAAGCGUUGUCCGGAAUUAUUGGGCGUAAAGAGCUCGUAGGCGGCUUGUCGCGUCGGUUGUGAAAGCCCGGGGCUUAACCCCGGGUCUGCAGUCGAUACGGGCAGGCUAGAGUUCGGUAGGGGAGAUCGGAAUUCCUGGUGUAGCGGUGAAAUGCGCAGAUAUCAGGAGGAACACCGGUGGCAAAGGCGGAUCUCUGGGCCGAUACUGACGCUGAGGAGCGAAAGCGUGGGGAGCGAACAGGAUUAGAUACCCUGGUAGUCCACGCCGUAAACGGUGGGCACUAGGUGUGGGCAACAUUCCACGUUGUCCGUGCCGC